UACGUAGGGUGCGAGCGUUGCCCGGAUUUAUUGGGCGUAAAGGGCGCGCAGGCGGCUACGCACGUCCGUUGUGAAAUCGCUCGGCUCAACUGGGCGGGGUCAGCGGAUACGGCGUAGCUGGAGCAAGCUAGGGGGCAAUGGAAUUCCCGGUGUAGUGGUGAAAUGCGUAGAUAUCAGGAGGGAACACCCCGUGGCGGAAGGCGGCUCUCUGGGUCGACCCUG
rnacentral:rRNA from 1 species